rnacentral:rRNA from 1 species
AAUGAACGCUGGCGGUGUGCCUAAUACAUGCAAGUCGAACGGACAGACGAUGAGCUUGCUCCCCUGCCGUUGGCGACGGACGGGUGAGUGACACGUGGAUAACCUACUUCUUAGUCUUGGAUAACUACGUGAAACAGGAUCUACUACCGGAUCAUAUAUUGUACCGCAUGGUUCAAUAGUUCAUGAGGGUUUUGCCGACACUUAUAGCCGGUUCCGCGUUGAAUUAGCUAGUUGGUAAGGUAACGGCUUACCAAGGCGACGAUGCGUAGCCGGCCUGAGAGGGUGAUCAGCCACACUGGAACUGAGACACGGUCCAGACUCCUACGGGAGGCAGCAGUGGGGAAUCUUCGACAAUGGGCGAAAGCCUGACGGAGCAACGCCGCGUGAGUGAUGAAGGUCUUCGGAUUGUAAAACUCUGUUAUUGGGAAAGAACAAAUGUAUAAGUAACUAUGGACGUCUUGACGGUACCUAAAGAAGAAGCCCCGGCUAACUACGUG